rnacentral:rRNA from 1 species
AUGUCUUGCUGCGGAGGAAACUGCGGCUGCGGCAGCGCCUGCAAGUGCGGCAACGGCUGCGGCGGCUGCAACAUGUACCCGGAGGCCGAGGCCGCCGGCGCCACCCUCCUCGUCUCCGCCACCGCCACCCACAAGGCGAUUAAGGGUACAGAAUCUUGUGCCACGCCCAAACGUCGCCCACCAUCGUCCUCGUUUGCCGCUGAGACACCAAACACAACCGCAACAGUCGGCACCAAGGCCACCCGAGAGAGAGUGAAGCGCCGACCAUCAGACACAAAUGUUACAAGAUCUGAAGACCGGCAAGAAGACCGAGCCACCUGCUCCCCAGCGCCGUCCAUUAGAGCGCCAUCGGAUGAAGUGGAUCAACUGGACAUGAUGAUAGGACUUGUAUAUUAUCAUCCCUUCUCGUUGUAA